UUUCGACAAUUUUAAUAUAUAAAGUGCCUAUUUGUGCUAUAAUUUACUUCGGUAUCUCGCGUUUGGAAUGAUCAAGUGGAAAUUGACCUGGCUUCACUCGGUGUUUCCAGUUGGCGCCAAAAAGCAAAAAGGAGAAACGAGGCGCGCUCUGGUGGAUUCGGCUACAAUCGCUUAAAGCGGUUCCUACACCAAAUAUAUAUAUAAGUUAAAUACCGAAAAUAUUAAAUAAAGCAAGCUUUGCAAUUUCUUUCGUAAAAGAAUGAAACAAUUAACGAAAUGCAAGCUCUGCAAUUAAUAUUUCGUAACAAUCAAAAUGCAAGCUCAGCUUAAUAACUAGCACGGACAUAAGCCAGCGAAUCAAGAAACACGCGCACCGAAUUGACCAAUACGUAAAUCAGCAUCGUCAGUUAAAUCGCACAUUUAUAUAGGGCUAGGUUUAAUAUAAUACUUUAGUCAUAAUUUAGCCGUAGUAAUUAAUAGUCAGAAUUUAGCCAUAGUAAUUAAUAUUCAUAAUUUAGCAGUAGUAAUUAAUUGUCUUAUAAAUAAAUUUUGAAUAAAAUUAACUGGCGACCGAGCAGGGACCGGUACGUGUAACGAUACGGCAAAACGUUCAGUAAGUUUGCGGCUUGCAAUAACAUUUGCAGCAACCGAUCAAAUCGCGAAGUGUAGAAAAACCUACAAAUUCGCGGAAAAUAAACGUCGUUUAAUACUACUAUCAUCGGUGGUCUCCAAGUCUUGUAGGCAAGGCCGCAGGACACCCCUAGAAAGGUACGCAUCGCAGGAGCCUCAGUAGUAACAGAAAAGUUACAAAAAGGAUGAAAUCCGGAUUGUCUAGGGAAGGAGCCAUAUCAUUAACCAUAGUAUUGUUUCGUCAAUAUUUUAAUUUACCCUUUGAUACUUAUACAUUAAGUGACACCCCAUCACAUUAUAAACCAUUGCUUAGGAAUGCACCGGUCUGAAGAUUGGAAAAAAUAUGUAUAUGACAUGGUAGACGCUUUUGAAGAAAUAGGUGUGAAUAUGUCCUUAAAAAUUUAUUUCUUUCACCAUCACAAGGACCAUUUUGAGCAGCAAGUUCCGACUGAAUCCGAUGAGCAUGGAGAAAGAUUUCAUCAAGUCGCCGCCCCCUUGAGCAUUGGUACAGCGGAAAAAAGCUUGACUCGUUGCUUGCUGAUUUGUGUUGGACAUUGAUAGAUGUCUUAUUAAAUUUAAUUUAAAUAUUGUGUACAAAUUUAUGAUACUUAUUGAUAACAGUUAUAAGAUACAAAAAGAAUAAAAUAGCAUACAAACAUAGUUAGUGUAGCUUUUUUAAAAAAUACAAAUUUUGUUAAGUUUUUUUUUUGUAAUGGUUAGUUUUCUCAGAACGUUGUCUUUGCUUAAGUUUCUUACUAUUACAAGAUGUCACUUAAUGUAUAAGUAUCAAAGGGUAAAUUAAAAUAUUGACGAAACCUGAGGGCAAAAACAUUAAAAAAAAUGGAUUAAAUUUCAGUUUUUUUUACAUAUUGGCUAUAAGGACACAAAAAACAUUGAUUUUGGGGUUUACAGUCAUCGAAGAACUUAAAGACGGACUUAUUCUGAGAAGCUUUGCCAAAGAAAGUUUACCAAAAAAGUCAACAUUAAAAAAGUUAGAGACCGAAGAAAAAAGUGCCUUUCUCUUACAAUGGGCCACUUUGAUGAAAAACUUCAAAAAAAAAUUUUGUAUGAAACCAUGAUUGUAACUCAAAAAAGUAAUGAUGCAGUUCGAUUCGUAGGACCCGAAAUAGGGGGAAACCGUCGAAUUUGGUCUUGUCUUUUUUUUUUGGAAAAAAACUAUCACAGUGUUAUUAUUAUUAAAAAAAUUUAAAUUAUCAUUAUUGAUUAUUAGUAAAACCAAUUGGAAAUUAAUAUAAAGAAAAAAAUCAAACAUUACGAUUUUUGUAAACAACCAGACACUGGUUAUAAUUAAACUCGAAAAUUGCAUGAUUUCAACAAAAAUUACUGCCUUAUUUCCGAAAUUUACAUAAAAUUCGUUAAUAUUUUUAAAUAAUUUAUUCGUUCUCCGAAACGUAAUUAAAUUAAUAAUUGAGUGAUUAUUUUAUGACCAAUCCAAACAAUUUAAUCAGGCCUUCAAGACUUAGCGCAUCCACAACACAAAACAGAAUUAUGGUCGAAAACGUUGACCGAGCUGCACUUGCAGACACGAUUAGUAAAAUUAUAGCACAGCAAUUGCCAGUAUUAUUAAGGCGACAUAAUUCACCGGAAGAAUUCGCUAAUGUAGCCGAUCAGGUAACCGCUCCAGAACAUGCCAGGAAUUUAGGUAACUUAAAUAGGGUACCAGACAUAGUAAAAACAAUACAUGAGUUUUCAGGUGAUCCAUCCGAAUUCGGUUCAUGGAAAAGGGUGUAGAUCGUUUCCAAGAAGCAUAUAGUGCUUAUCAAGGUAAGCCAAAAUACUAUGGUAUCUUGCAUACCAUUCGAAAUAAAAUAAUAGGACACGCCAAUAUGGCAUUAGAAUCUUAUAAUACCCCACUUAAUGGGUUAGCCAUUUUCAAAUGCCUAACAUUACAUUAUGCGGACAAACGUCACAUAAAUAUUUAAGAAUACCAAAUAUUUUAGAAAUCCAAACCUAUAAUCAAUCAGUAGAAGAAUUCCAUCAGACAGUUUAUAAGCACUUAUCCCUAAUUUUGAAUAAAAUUGGUUGUAUGGGAUUAGGCAGGGAAGCAAAACAACUAAUGACGAAAAUGUACAGAGAUAAAGCUCUAGAUACUUUGGUUGGGAGGUGACUUACCGCGCCUAUUAGGAAUUAAAGAAACAGUAGAUUUACCUUCAGCACUACAUCUGUGUUUGAAAUUAGAGAACCAAACUUUUCGUGCAAACCGUGCUGCAAACAAAGGACAAACAAGCAAUUUCAGGAAUCAGAAUCUCAAACUGAUACCUGCUGCACGCAACAUUCAAUUUAUAAAUAGACAACAAUCAAUCCCAUCAAGACUUUACCAAUACCAACAACAUGAACUACAACCACCAAUCGCUCAACCAAGACAGAACUUCCAACCUACCGCCGCACCUCGACAAUCAUUCUCAAAUAGACAAUUCCAGGCCCCACCAAGGCCUACGGCACAAAAACCAUUGCCUCGUCCAGAAUCUAUGGACGUAGACCCCAGUAUACAAACGAAAAUGGUCAAUUACAUGAACCGACCUCGCAUUGAAGUUAAAAGACCAACAGAUCAAUACACUCGUACUUUGAACGACCACACUUACGAAUUCUACGAUGAUUGCUCAAUAAAUUUCCUAGAAGAUUACGAUCAAGAAGUACUUGAUAAAUCGAGAAAAAAGAACGUUGUAGAUAAUACAAUCUCAAAAAUAACAACUGAACAAAUUCAUUAUAUCAUUUACACACAGCCCAACGCUGAAAAUUAUAAUCAUGGUUUAUUACCUAACAUUAUAACUCCAAUUCCAGAAUACCCCGGACAUAUACUGCAUAUUGACAUCUACUCAACAGAACGACAUCUUGUACUAACGGCAAUAGAUAAAUUUUUCAAACUAGC